GAAAUGCGAUAAGUAGUGUGAAUUGCAGAAUUCAGUGAAUCAUCGAAUCUUUGAACGCACAUUGCGCCCUUUGGUAUUCCUUAGGGCAUGCCUGUUCGAGCGUCAUCUAAACCUUCAAGCCCUGCUUGGUGUUGGGUUCCUGUCCCGCCUCCGCGCGCGGACUCACCUCAUAUCCAUUGGCGGCCCCCGCGUCGGCCACGAGCGCAGCAGAAACGCGAACUCGUGAGCCCGUCCGGGCGGCUCCCAGAAGCUACACCCACCCAGUUUGACCUCGGAUCAGGUAGGGAUACCCGCUGAACUUAAGC
rnacentral:misc_RNA from 1 species